AGGUUAAGUCAAAAGACAAUUUUAUGAAACAAAACGGCGCGUUUUUUUUUUUUUGAUUUCACUGGCUGAUAGGCGAACUUCACGUUGCUACUGGCUGCUAGCAGCUAAUAGCUAUUUAGCCUGUUUCAAGCUCCCCACGACAUGAUUCAUUGUCAUUUUUGCGGGAGAACAUUGCACACGUUAAAGGGUUAUGUGUUGCAUUGUAGGGUUGUGAUGUUCCAUUAUGUGGAGGACAAUUGCCUGGCUGGGGAAGUGGACAUGAGCAGAGUUCCCUUGACUCCCACGAUUGUUGUAUGUGGGCAGUCCUGCUAUUCCUCCAGACGGAUGAUGCUGAGUGUGGAUCAAGUCAUCGUGAACGAGAACAUCUCUUCCUUCAUCUUGGCCUUGUGCAUGAUGUUUGGCAGCUAUUACUGCUUUAACAUUCAUUACCCAUCCACGCUUGCAUCGACCCUGGAAUUUCUACAGAGAUGUUUCUUCUCUAUUAAUCCGGAGAAGGGGACGAAAGUGGAACAAACAAAAACAAAAUGGCUCCAUGUGAAUCCAAGAGUCCUUACUUUGAUUCAGGACCUCUCAGACCAUGAAUGGCGAGCUAUUUAAAAAGGUACGUGUGCUAAUGCUAC